UGGUGGGUUGCCUUGUCAGGUUGAUUCCGGUAACGAACGAGACCUCAGCCUGCUAAAUAGUCACGAUCGCUUCUUGCGGUUGGCUGACUUCUUAGAGGGACUAUUGGCGUUUAGUCAAUGGAAGUAUGAGGCAAUAACA
rnacentral:rRNA from 1 species